rnacentral:lncRNA from 1 species
GAGAAAUCUAAAUAGCCGAAACACCGGCGGCAAAGGCGGAUACUUGUCCUAUUAAACAACCAAAUUGAAAAUUUUGAAUUUACUGAGAGAUUUGGAUCAGAGUUUCACAUUGCGUACCGGCACUUUUUCGAGGAAAUCCGCAAGAUCUGAAGGACCCAUCUUUGCCGCAACUUUCACUUUCCAAUCAGUGUUAAUCAAGAAGGUAUUUAACAUGAACUAAUUAAUAGUUAUAUGUUAAAUACAGUUACUUGAGUUCUAAGACCGUUAGUGAGCUGUAUCAAGGCUGGCUAAAGUGUGCGCUUUGUAAAGGAAGAAUGAGGACGUAAUGCUUGUAAUGUGCGUAACCCACGUAAUGCUUGUAAUGUGCGUAACCCAUCAUACCUAGAAUCUGUUCUAUAUAAAGCCACACAGCCGCCUACUCAUGAAAUCUCUCUUCUUAAUCAAUACAUUUCUAUCUUUUCUCUCCAUCUUUAAUCAUGAUCCAUUCAACAUUUCCUACUUGAAAUCUUAAAUAUUUACAUGGUAUCAGAGCUUUGGUUCUAGUUUCUAAUCUUGCUUUCUCUCUUAUUCUUCUUUCUUGAGCGUCUUUUGAUUUUGUUAAUCGUUUGGACACUCAAACGAGCUCCGAUUUGGCUGAUUUUUGGAAGGUAGCUUCGUGACUCAGUGGUCUUGAGAUUCAACGGUGGAGAUCGUGUUUCAACGGUUGGUUUAGGAGAAAUAUGAGUUUUAUCGUGGCUGGUCGUAUCUGAAAUUUCCAGAUUUUUCUGCAGCAGUUGUCGUGAGUCUUUGGAAGAUCUAACGGUGAGUUCUUCUCGGUUUGAGCUGAAAUUUUGCAGUGUUGUUCCUGACCCGUUUAUCUAUGAUUUGAACGGUGGAGAUUUUUGUUGGAAGUCCCGUUGUGGGAUUACGUUGGUUACGUUGGACUGGUUAUUAAAUUGGUUUGUACAAUGAGUGAUACUUACAAGGAUUUGAAGUUGAAGUUCUCCGUGAUUCUAAACGGGAACAACUACCUCUUGUGGAAGAGGACAACUACUAAUGUGCUCGGCAGUAGGAGGCUCACAAAUCACAUUGAAUCAACCUUUGAAGACUUGAAGAAUUUGGAUGAAAGCAUUGACAAAGACACAUGGAAGCAAGAUGACUUGAAUGUCCUUAGUGCUUUGCAUUGCUCCCUUGAAACUUCUAUCUUAGAAGGGUAUUCGUAUUGUGAGAUAUCCAAGGAGCUUUGGGAUACUCUCGCGAAUGUGUUUGGUAAUGAAUCAAAUUUGACUCGGAUCUAUGAGAUUAAGAAGGCUCUAGGGGAACUAAGUCAAGAAGAUAGCGACUUUAAUGCUCACUUUGGGAAGUAUAGAUCGCUUGUUGCUGAAUUAGAGAUGCUAAGGCCAUUCACUACGGAUGCAAAGACACUUAAGGAGCGUAGGGAACAAGAUCUUGUCUUUGGGUUGAUGUUGACUCUUAAUUCAAGCUACACGGAUGUGAUCCAACACAUCUUGAGAGAUGACAAGAUCCCUACCUUAGAACAAGUGUGUGCAAAGAUACAAAGGGAGUAUGGUUCGCAAGGUCUAUUUGGUAGCAAAGGAGAGAGUCUUCCAACGGCAAACAAGGUCGGGAUGGUGAAACAAGAUGAUAAAAAGACUUGGUUUUGUGAUCAUUGCAAGAAGAAGGGUCACCUCAAAGACAAGUGUUGGAUCCUACACCCUCACUUGAAGCCGGAAAAGUUCAAGAACUCCAAGCCGAGAGCUAAUGUAGCAAACACAAGUGAAAGAGGACUACUUGAUAAUGAAGAGAGGGCCAUUGUGCAAUAUGGAUAUCAAGAGAAAGCAAUGCGAGCUACUGCUCAAGACAAGGGAUGUACCACUUCUACCUCUCAAGCUCAAGAAACCAUCACCAUGAACAAGGCCGAUCUUGAAGCUCUUCUUCAAUCCAUAGCAUCCAAAAUGCAUCCCAGCGGUAUCUCUCUCUUUACCUCUAACUCUCAUGAUUCAAAUUCAUUAGUGUUAGACUCCGGAGCUUCUCAUCAUAUGAUAAGUAAUCCUAGGUUAUUAGAGAAUGUUAAACCGGCACUAGGGAAUGUUAAGGUUGCAAAUGGUCAUAAUGUUCCAAUAGAAGGAAUAGGUUGCAUAACCUUGUUUAACAAGAAGUCUAGUGCUUUCUAUAUGCCUAAGUUCACUUCUAACUUGCUCUCGGUCAAGAAAACAACUAAGGACUUAAAUUGUCUUGCUAUCUUUAGUCCUAAUGAUGUUAAGUUGCAGGAUAUUGAGAGCGGUACUGUGUUUGGACAAGGAGGCACCAAGGAUGAUCUCUAUGUUCUUGAAGACACUUCUUUAAACUCUUCUAUUUCCGCAAAUAAUGUUAAGACUUCAGUUGUAUUGUGGCAUGAUAGACUUGGCCAUCCACACUCUAGAGCUUUGAACUUGUUAUUACCCGGUUUAUCUUAUGAUUGUUCUCAUUGUGAAGCAUGCAUCUUAGGUAAACAUUGCAAAACGGUUUUCCCUAAGUCUAAUGCUAUUUAUGAGAAGUGUUUUGAUCUUGUGCAUUCGGAUGUUUGGACCUCACCUUGUGCAUCUAGAGAUAAUCAUAAAUACUUUGUGACAUUCAUAGAUGAGAAAUCUAAGUAUACUUGGGUAACUUUGCUUCCAUCUAAGGACAGAGUUUAUGAUGCAUUUCUAAACUUCCAAAACUAUGUGACUAAUCACUUUGAUGCAAAGAUCAAAAUUCUUAGAACAGAUAAUGGAGGUGAAUAUACGAGCACCAAGCUCAAAGCCCAUUUGGAAAAGUGUGGGAUCUUACACCAAACAAGCUGCCCAUACAACCCUCAACAAAAUGGUGUUGCGGAAAGGAAGAAUAGACACCUCAUGGAGGUCUCACGAGCAAUGCUAUUUCAUAAGCAUAUGCCUAAGAGGUUUUGGGGUGAUGCGGUUAUGACCGCUUGUUAUCUUAUUAAUAGAAUUCCAACUAGAGUUCUUAAUGAUCAAUCACCUUUUCAAGUAUUGAAUAACCAAAACCCUAACAUUGAGCACUUGAGAGUGUUUGGUUGUGUUUGUUUUGUAUUCAUUCCAGGUGACUUAAGGAAUAAGCUAGAGCCCAAGAGUACCAAGUGCGUGUUCAUCGGAUACUCCACUACUCAAAGAGGCUACAAAUGCUUUGAUCCAACCAAUAAUAGAUACUAUGUAUCUAGAGAUGUGAAAUUCAUGGAAGACAAGGCGUAUUUCGGAGAAAAGAAUUGGGAGAGUGUAAAGGACCUACCUAACUCAACUUCGGAUAGAGCAAAGAGUCUUAAACACAUUCUUGAGCAUUUGGGUAAUGUUAACAUACCUCAAGACACUACGGAAGAGAUACCAGGCGAAGUUACAAGUGGGACUCAAGAAAGUGAAGUUGAAACACCAAUAGAGUCGUCGCAUGGUAACCAUGAGAAUGUUGUAGGGGAAGAAUCUAGUGAAGAAGAGAUCGUCCACUAAGUGAAGAUGAAGUCAUUAGAUCAUCAAGCGAAGAAGAGACUAACUCAAUUCCUCAAACAACAAAUGAACCGGUCUACACGUUACAAAACCCAAGACGAAGUAAAAGGGCAAAGAAGCCUAAGGUUCUCUUCAAUUGUCAAGCUGUUGCUCACCCCAUUAAGCGACAUGUUCGAUUGACCUUCUUCCCGAGGAACAUAAAGCUUUUCUUAGUAAGCUAGAUGUGGAAUUCAUCCCACAAAGCUAUGAGGAAGCCAAGGAAAGAAAGGAAUGGACUAAUGCUGUGGAUGAUGAAGUACAAGCUAUGAUUCGGAAUCAUACAUGGGAUGAAGAAGAACUUCCACAAGGGAAGAGAUGUGUUAGCUCAAAGUGGGUUUUCACCAUAAAGUAUAAGAGUAAUGGUGAAAUUGAAAGACACAAGGCUAGAUUGGUUGCAAGAGGAUUCACUCAAACCUAUGGAGAGGAUUAUAGGGAAACUUUUGCUCCGGUAGCUAAGCAACACACCGUAAAAGUUGUUCUAUCUUUGGCUGUGAACUUGGAUUGGGAAUUGUGGCAAAUGGACGUCAAGAAUGCUUUCCUUCAGGGGGAGUUGAAAGAAGAAGUUUAUAUGACACCUCCUCCGGGUUUAGAAGACAUAGUGGCUCCGGGAAAGGUUUUAAGACUUCGAAAAGCUAUAUAUGGCCUCAAACAAUCCCCAAGAGCUUGGUACCACAAGUUGAGUUCAACCUUGCUUAGAGAAGGCUUCAAAAGGUCACAUUCGGAUCACACUUUGUUUACUAAACAAGAUAAUCAAGGAAUCGUAGUAGUGUUGAUCUAUGUUGAUGACUUGAUUAUCUCGGGCAGUAACAAAGAAGGUAUCCAAGCUAUUAAGUCUUCUUUACACUUGGCUUUUGAUAUUAAAGAUUUGGGUGUGUUAAAGUAUUUCUUAGGGAUCGAGGUGUGUAGAUCCAAGGAGGGACUGUUUCUCUCACAAAGGAAAUAUGCUCUUGAUCUUCUAAAACUUACAGGGAAGCUUGGAGCUAAACCAGUUGAUACACCAUUGGAGCAAGGUUACAAGGUCAAUCGAAAGGGGGAGAAAGAUGACACUCCUUACCAUUGCCCAGAACAAUACCGAAGACUCGUUGGUAAGCUUAUAUACUUGACAUAUACUCGACCGGACUUGUCUUUUGCUGUGAAUCAGGUAGCUCAACACAUGAAAGAGCCCACUGUUUAUCAUUGGAGCUUGGUGGAGAGAAUUCUGAGAUACAUCAAAGGAAGUCCUGGCAAAGGCAUAUGGAUGGGAAGAAACUCUAGCACAGAAAUUGUUGGAUAUUGUGAUGCAGAUUACAAUGGCGAUCGCAACACAAGACAAUCAACAACUGGCUUUUGUACAUUCAUUGGUGGGAAUCUUGUGACUUGGAAGUCGAAGAAGCAGAAAGUGGUCUCUUGUUCGAGUGCUGAAGCAGAGUAUAGGGCUAUGAAGAAACUCACAAACGAGUUAACAUGGCUAAAGGCUUUGCUGAAGGACUUUGGGAUCGAGCAGAAGACUCCAAUCACCUUUCAUUGUGACAAUCAAGCGGCGAUCCAUAUUGCUACAAACUCAGUGUUUCACGAGAGAACGAAGCAUAUAGAGACCGACUGCCACAAGACAAGAGAGAAGGUAGAAGAUGGUACCAUUCUCCCUUGUUACACUAAAAGCUCGGACCAAUUGGCCGAUAUCUUCACCAAGGCAGCAAGUAACCAAGUUUGCCAAUUUAUCCAUGGUAAACUUGGUCUUGUAGACCUCACACAUCCUUGAGAAAGACUCUCCAACUUGUAGGGAUAAUACUCUUUUUCCCUAAGCUUGGUUUUGUCCCACGUGGUUUUCCAAGCUUAGGUUUUUAAUGAGGUUAUUCUUGCAAGUGCCAAGUUUAUACACAAUUAGCAUUGUAGUAUAAACUUGAGGGGGAGUGUUAAUCAAGAAGGUAUUUAACAUGAACUAAUUAAUAGUUAUAUGUUAAAUACAGUUACUUGUGUUCUAAGACCGUUAGUGAGCUGUAUCAAGGCUGGCUAAAGUGUGCGCUUUGUAAAGGGAGAAUGAGGACGUAAUGCUUGUAAUGUGCGUAACCCACGUAAUGCUUGUAAUGUGCGUAACCCAUCAUACCUAGAAUCUGUUCUAUAUAAAGCCACACAGCGCCUACUCAUGAAAUCUCUCUUCUUAAUCAAUACAUUUCUAUCUUUUCUCUCCAUCUUUAAUCAUGAUCCAUUCAACAUUUCCUACUUGAAAUCUUAAAUAUUUACAAU